rnacentral:lncRNA from 1 species
GAUCCAUAAACAUUAGUAUAAAUAAUACAUUCUAUGAGAUAUGUUAAUUACUUUUAUUAAUUACUGUAUUUAUUGUUUGUUAACUAACUUGGUUAAUUUUGGUGUCAAAAUGUCUUCUUUAGACACAACUUUUACACACUUAAAAAAGACUAGUACUCUAAAGAAAAAAAAGUAUCUUUUGAAAUUGAAAACUUAAAAUGUUUAAAGUGUUUUUU